rnacentral:rRNA from 1 species
UGCCGCGUGCAGGAAGACKGUCCUAUGGAUUGUAAACUGCUUUUAUUUGGGAAUAAACUCCUCUACGUGUASAGGCCUGAAGGUACCAAAUGAAUAAGCACCGGCUAACUCCGUGCCAGCAGCCGCGGUAAUACGGAGGGUGCAAGCGUUAUCCGGAAUCAUUGGGUUUAAAGGGUCCGCAKGCGGUCGUAUAASUCAGUGGUGAAAUCUCUCGGCUUAACCGAGAAACUGCCAUUGAUACUGUACGUCUUGAAUUCGGUCGAAGUGGGCGGAAUAUGUCAUGUAGCGGUGAAAUGCUUACAUAUGACAUAGAACACCGAUAGCGAAGGCAGCUCACUASGCCUGGAUUGACGCUCAGGGACGAAAGCGUGGGUAGCGAACAGGAUUAGAUACCCUGGUAGUCCACGCCGUAAACUAUCAAUACUCGUUUUCAGCGAUAUACAGUUGGAGACUAAGCGAAAGUGAUAAGUAUUGC